CUCAAAGGGAAGCAGCGGCGGCUCCAUGGAAACACGCAACUUAGUGAUCUAAGAUCAAUCUUCCUAUUCAUUCAUUGCACGCUGUUAUUCUGCAGGACCGGCGAAGUGCAAGGUCAUGUACAAGGGAUAAGCUGGUCAAUGAAGGAAAUUCUAAAAGAAAGCGACUACAAGCAACAUUUGAAGUGAGCUGGGAGCCGGGGUCAUCCUUCUCACCACCAGUCGAACAUACUACUUCAGCCACCAUGUUGAGCGAUAUAAAAGUGUUCUCUAUUUCAGAGAGCAACAACACGAGAUUGUGCCCCCUCUUGCUCCAGGUGCAUGUUGCUGUAAUUAGUAUCAACAGAUUAAAUCAUGGGCCAUGUCUCUGUUUCAUACCACCUCUGUUCAUAAAUAGAUAGCUUCCUAGAGAUUGUGCAGUCCUAAGGCCAUCCACACUAUUGGCCGUUAAAGCGUAUUGAGUGCAUCAAGCCUAAUUUUCU